rnacentral:rRNA from 1 species
GAUGAACGCUAGCGGCAGGCCUAACACAUGCAAGUCGAGGGGUAACAGGGAGUGCUUGCACUCUGCUGACGACCGGCGCACGGGUGCGUAACGCGUAUACAAUCUACCUUUUGCUGUGGGAUAGCCCAGAGAAAUUUGGAUUAAUACCGCAUAGUAUAUAGUAGUGGCAUCACUACUAUAUUAAAGGUUACGGCAAAAGAUGAGUAUGCGUUCUAUUAGCUAGAUGGUGUGGUAACGGCACACCAUGGCAACGAUAGAUAGGGGCCCUGAGAGGGGGAUCCCCCACACUGGUACUGAGACACGGACCAGACUCCUACGGGAGGCAGCAGUGAGGAAUAUUGGGCAAUGGAGGCAACUCUG